rnacentral:rRNA from 1 species
UACGUAGGGUGCAAGCGUUAUCCGGAAUUAUUGGGCGUAAAGAGCUCGUAGGCGGUUUGUCGCGUCUGCUGUGAAAAACCCGCGGCUUAACUGUGGGCUUGCAGCUGAUACGGGCAGGCUAGAGUUCGGUAGGGGAGACUGGAAUUCCUGGUGUAGCGGUGAAAUGCGCAGAUAUCAGGAGGAACACCGGUGGCGAAGGCGGGUCUCUGGGCCGAUACUGACGCUGAGGAGCGAAAGCGUGGGGAGCGAACAGG